GAUGAACGCUGGCGGCGUGCCUAACACAUGCAAGUCGAGCGGACAGACGUGUUGCUUGUUCCUCUCACGUUAGCGGCGGACGGGUGAGUACCCUUUGGAUAACCUCCCUAUCUGACUGGGAUUACUUCUAGACCGCGGGGCUAAUACCGGAUAAUAUAUUGCACCGCAUGGUUCACUAGUGAAUGACUGUUUUGCUGUUACUUCUAGAUGGUUCCGAGCCGCAUUAGCUAGUUGGUAAGGUAACGGCUUACCAAGGCAACGAUGCGUAGCCGACCUGAGAGAGUGAUCGGCCACACUGGAACUGAAACACGAUCCAUACUCCUACGGGAAGCAGCAGUAGGCAACCAUACGCAACAGACGAAAGCAUUACGCAGCAACGCCGCAUGAGUUAUGAAAGUCUUCCGAUCGUAAAACACUGUUAUUAGGGAAGAACAAAUGUGUAAGUAACAAAACACGUAAUGACGGUACCUAAUCAAAAAGCAACGGCUAACUACGUG
rnacentral:rRNA from 1 species